GGCGGCAUGGCCAAGUGGUUAAGGCGGGGGACUGCAAAUCCUUUAUCCCCAGUUCAAAUCCGGGUGUCGCCU
rnacentral:tRNA from 1 species